ensembl:snRNA U6 U6 spliceosomal RNA
UUAAUUACUUAUUGGCAGCACAUUGGAAUGAUACAGAGAAGAUUAGCGUAGCCCCUGUGCAAGAUUAACGUGCAAAUUUGUGAAAUGUUCCAUAUUUUU